rnacentral:ncRNA from 1 species
UGGCAAACUAAUUGAAAGAUUAGGACGCAAAGCCAGAGGGCCUGAGCAUUGAUAAUGCAUGGCAGCCGGUUGCU